CAGCAGGCCGCUGCCAGCCCUGCUCAGGGAGGGUGCCAUUUCCAAAGCCAGGAGUUAGAUUAUGUGUCACUCUGGCUGUAUGGCCCCCCUCGCAGCGUCUGGGCAUCACCCCCAGACUAGC
rnacentral:precursor_RNA from 15 species